rnacentral:lncRNA from 1 species
AAAAAUAAUGUAUUCACUUAAUAUUAAAGAGUUGUUGGUAGUUGAUGAUCAGCUUCAAGGACGAUCGGGUUCAACUAAAAAAAGGGAGCCUACCCGCAUCGAUCAAAUUAAUGAAAAGUCGAGCAACAACCCAGAAUUUGAAGCAAUAUUUGAGAGCAAAAGGGCAGAUCAAGCCUGCAAUUAAAAGGGUGAAGCUACGGGUUGAAGAUAAGAGAUCAUGUUUGGCUAUUGUUGCUAAUAAGUGCAGCCCCAUGAUAAAAAUGAUGUGGCGUUUGGUUUCUAAGAGCUACCAUAUGGACAAAUUGUAAGAUGGAACUUUUUGCAUAAGGUCCCUGUAUUAUGAUUUCUGUGGAUUUAAUUUUUAUAUUAUGAUUUGAUUAUUUUUUAUCUCUUUAUUUUUAG